rnacentral:lncRNA from 1 species
CACGUUUUCUUUUGCCCAGAACCACAUGAAGGGCCACCUCAAUUCAAUAUCAGUCAGGUCUGCACUGGGCUCUCCCAGUUCCUUGCUCGACUCUCUUAUGCCUCCACAGUACUGCAUUUAGAAGCCUAGGGAGCCUUUUCUUACCCACCCGCUCCCCCUUUAGACUCAUGUCUUCUCCUUCCAGGUAUUCGGCACCAACGUGAUGGUGACUGUGGCCAAGUCCUUUGAGGCACCAAUAAAAUUGGUGUUCCCCCAGGAUCUGCUGGAGAAGGGUCUUGAAGCAGACAACUUUGCCAUGCUGGGACUUGGAGACAUUGUCAUCCCAGGGAUCUUCAUCGCCUUGCUGCUCCGUUUCGACAUCAG